UUGACUCAUUUAAGUAGACUCAGAGAUACACUAUUAAGACAGAGCUGGCUGGCCUUCGGCGGGCUCGACGCCGCGGGCCGGGCGGGGUGCCCGGCGCCGCGGCGCCCGCCGAGGCAACGUCUGGGUAUGUUCGCGAUGGUUGGACGGUAAAGUCACUGUAAUGAUCCCUCCGCUGGUUCACCAACGGAGA
rnacentral:misc_RNA from 1 species